UGCCACGUGUCUGCUCCUUCUGAACCUC
rnacentral:piRNA from 1 species